UUAAAUUCUCAGGGCGGGGUGUAAUUCCCCACCGGCGGUAAUAAUCAGGCGGUCGAUUUAUUCGUCACCUAUUUCAGCCCGCGAGCGCCUAAGUGGCAUAUGAUUUAAUAAAGUCAUCACUUAGGGUCAGCAGAUCUGGUGAAUGCUAUGCCAUAUAGCCUAGUCCAGAGCCGACGGUAAUGACAUAUUCACGAAUAUGUCUAAGUCCGGAUGAGAGAGAAUAUAA
rnacentral:ncRNA from 1 species